rnacentral:rRNA from 1 species
CCAGACUCCUACGGGAGGCAGCAGUGGGGAAUAUUGCACAAUGGGGGAAACCCUGAUGCAGCAACGCCGCGUGAGUGAAGAAGUCAUUCGUGAUGUAAAGCUCUAUCAGCAGGGAAGAAAAUGACGGUACCUGAGUAAGAAGCCCCGGCUAACUACGUGCCAGCAGCCGCGGUAAUACGUAGGGGGCAAGCGUUAUCCGGAUUUACUGGGUGUAAAGGGAGCGUAGACGGCUGGCCAAGUCUGAAGUGAAAGCCCGGGGCUUAACCCCGGAACGGCUUUGGAAACUGGCCGGCUGGAGUGCUGGAGAGGCAGGCGGAAUUCCUGGUGUAGCGGUGAAAUGCGUAGAUAUCAGGAGGAACACCGGUGGCGAAGGCGGCCUGCUGGACAGUAACUGACGUUGAGGCUCGAAAGCGUGGGGAGCAAACAGGAUUAGAUACCCCAGUAAC